GUGGCUUUCCAAGCAGCCCAAGUCGGCCCAAAACUAUCUCAACCAUCUGGACCUACCAUCGAGCCGGGGGCAUUCUCACCACAUUUUUUCGCGGAUUUGACAUUUCCCAACUCAAAUCUCGCGCCCGGAGUCUACCACCCUUCCACUGCUCAAGGAGGCGCAUUCCUUCCAAGCUCUUCCAAUCCAAAUGGCGAACAACACUUGUCUCGACAAGUCAUAGAGUUGACGAGCACCCUUGCACAACAGACAACUUUGGUGAAUCAACUUUUGCAACGCAUCGGGAUCCAACGUGCCCCGGAUGAGGUAUCCCGAAGUAGGACAAGGGCAGACGAACCUUUCCAGCAGCAUCCCAGCAAGCAGCCAUUCGACCAGCCACAAGCUGAACGUUCAGGCAGUGUACAUUCCCGAUUGGG
rnacentral:lncRNA from 1 species